GACGUAGGGCGCGAGCGUUGUCCGGAUUUAUUGGGCGUAAAGAGCUCGUAGGCGGCUCGUUGCGUCAACCGUGAAAACCCGGGGCUUAACUUCGGGCUUGCGGUUGAUACGGGCGGGCUGGAGUUCGGUAGGGGAGACUGGAAUUCCUGGUGUAGCGGUGAAAUGCGUAGAUAUCGUAAGGAAGACCAGUGGCGAAGGCGGGUCUCUGGACAGUUCCGUGACGCUGAGGCACGAAGGUCAGGGGGAGCAAACGGG
rnacentral:rRNA from 1 species